CAGCCGCCGCGGUAAUACAGAGGGUGCAAGCGUUAAUCGGAAUUACUGGGCGUAAAGCGCGCGUAGGUGGUUCGUUAAGUUGGAUGUGAAAUCCCUGGGCUCAACCUGGGAACUGCAUUCAAAACUGUCGAGCUAGAGUAUGGUAGAGGGUGGUGGAAUUUCCUGUGUAGCGGUGAAAUGCGUAGAUAUAGGAAGGAACACCAGUGGCGAAGGCGACCACCUG
rnacentral:rRNA from 1 species